UACGUAGGGAGCAAGCGUUGUCCGGAAUCAUUGGGCGUAAAGCGCGCGUAGGUGGCCCCGUAAGUCCGCUGUGAAAGUCAAAGGCUCAACCUUUGAAAGCCGGUGGAUACUGUGGGACUAGAGUACGGAAGAGGCGAGUGGAAUUCCUGGUGUAGCGGUGGAAUGCGCAGAUAUCGGAAGGAACACCAGUGGCGAAAGCGGCUUCCUGGUCCAGCACCGACGUUCAGGCACGAAAGCGUGGGGAGCAAACAGG
rnacentral:rRNA from 1 species